UACGUAGGGUGCAAGCGUUAAUCGGAAUUACUGGGCGUAAAGCGUGCGCAGGCGGUUUUGUAAGUCUGUCGUGAAAUCCCCGGGCUCAACCUGGGAAUGGCGAUGGAGACUGCAAGGCUAGAGUUUGGCAGAGGGGGGUAGAAUUCCACGUGUAGCAGUGAAAUGCGUAGAUAUGUGGAGGAAUACCGAUGGCGAAGGCAGCCCCCUGGGAUAACACUGACGCUCAUGCACGAAAGCGUGGGGAGCAAACAGG
rnacentral:rRNA from 1 species